UUAGAGCCAAACUGAAAACUGAUGCAGUCUGUCAGCAAGCCCUCAGGUAACAGUAUCAUAAUUUAUAAAAUUUACCAACAAUAGGAUAGUAAUUAAAGAUAGAAGUUUUCCUGUCCCUAUUUUUGGCAAAAGAGAUUUCAGAAUGCUAAACUGUGCAUGUGUGUCUCGUCAAGGAUUUAAAACAAAAUGAAAAAAAGAAAAAAAAAAGGUAAAAAAAAAAAAAAAGAAAAAAUCACACUAUCCAUAGGAAAAGGGUUUCAUUUUUGCUUGUGUUAUUUCUUGCUCUUUGCAUACUUUUGCAUUAAUAGGCUGGUGGCUUACUUACUACUUACAAGCUCAGGCUAGAGCUUUUUGCAAUUAUUUUUUAAUUAUUAUUUAAAAUGAGAAACAGCCUGGGUUAGACCAUGAACAUCUGGAAAAUUUCUUGGAGCUUUUGGGUUUGCCCCAGUGCAAGUCCUUCUUAUUUCUAGUGUUUGGUCCACUCAUUCAAGUGACUUUGGAUGUCUCAACUAAGAAUGGGACUACAUGUGGGAAAGAGAGGAAUAGUUGGCUGUUUUGAAGGAACAUUUUUCUCCAGAUUACAUCAACUGUAAUUAUUUCAUAUUGUAAGAAUAGUGUAGGAUCAUGUUGAAUAAUACAGUGAGAUUAUUGUUGGCAAAUGAUGACAUUUUAGUGGCAAACAAGGAUGCAAAUAACAAUUAUGGUACCACAUUGUUUUUGUUGGCACUAAUUAGAACACUUUCACUGCCUGUCUAAUUCCUAAUUUUAUUUGGAAAGCCCUUGAAUUAUGGACAUUAUUUUUUGUAAGUUUUCUAUAGUGCCCAGCACAAAAUGGAACUCCGUUUAUGAUUGGGAAAUAAGAGUGAUGAUAUAAUAAUAAUAAUAACAGUAAUAGUAAGAAAUUGACAAUAUCAGUUUAUACUUUGAUCUUGUCAGUACUCAUGAGUUAAGUGGUGUUGGAUUAGUCCAAUACCUAAGUGGCAGUCUGUCAGAGAACACUUCUGUUUAACAGAUGGUUCUGAAUAAGUGCACAAAUUUGGUGUUAGGACCUUGCCUCGUACCAGGUUCCAUCAGACAUGAAAUUGAGGUCUUGACCACUUGCAUCCAUAAAAAUUAAAUGUAAUAAAAAUUAAAUAUACUAACUAUGAGGCCUAACUACAAUACCAGCUAUAGCCUACAAAAAGACUUCUUGACUGGUGGUCAUUGAAUCGAAUCAACAUUGACCAAGUCCGUCUUUAAGAUUCUCUGCCAGAUCUUCUUCUCUGCUGUCCCUGAUUAAGAUUUUCUUUUCAUCUCAUGUCUUACAGUGUUUGUCAGUGUUACCAUGUACUAUCCCGUAGAUUCUGCAUGUUACUGUUUAGAAAAUAGGUAGUAUUUUCUUCCUAUGUACAAAUUUGACAGUUAAGCUGAAAAACAUAGUGUUCUUCUGGACUCUAUACUUAGGAAUUAGUUUUCUAGCUUUUCUCAGGGAAUUGUAGAUAUGAAAGUAUUUGAAAGGGAUCUGAGAAUGCAAAAUACAAAUCCUUCUAGGGGGGAAGCGACGUAUUUGACUUUUACUUUUUCAUUUUGUUUCUUGCAUAACUGUCAAAAGUAAUUUCAAAGACUUUGCCUGUUUUGCUCUUCUUAUCUUGUACUGUAUGUCUGAUGAAGAAAGGAUGAAUGAGGUUGGAAAGGACGACAGUCUUUCCAAACGUAUCUCCUUCUCUUAGGAAAAUCUCCUUUCUUUCUCACACAAAGGAAGAAAAUUUGGUUUUAAAUUCAGUUUAUUUUCUUCCAUAAGUCUUGGCAAACUGUUCAGAAAACAAUUUAGAUCUGUGCAAAUUUAUAUCCUGGUCAUGGAGCCCAAGCUGAACCUAAAUACAUGAGUAAGGGCUGUUUAGAUUGACUGCAGUACUUCAUCAGUAGUUCUCUCCAUAUCUUAACCUGAACUAUCACUGCUUAAUACCCAAUUGAGGAAUAGCUGGGAGUGCUCACUGGUGCAUACAGCCACUAGGAUUGCUUCUAUCAUGCAUAUCCUGAAAAACAUUUGUGCAAAUCACCCACAGAGUAAACAGUUACAGUGAGAAGUCCUUGCUCCAGUGCAGAAGAGGAGUGCAGAGGCUGUGAGGACACCCACCUCUCCCCCUUGGUUUGGAAGGGAUCUGUACUGGAGCUCAACGAAGGCCCCAUGUUCAGAUUGGCAGCAGGUUCAGUUUGGAUUUCCUCUCUGCAGCUGCUCCACACUCCACUUGCACCAUGUCCAAACAUCUGGCUUUAAUGUUUCGACGUAUGCCUGAAUGCAGUAUCUGCUGUCCUAUUUUGGCUCAUAUUGUUUGGAAACCACUGGAGAACUAUCAGCGAUUUUUCAGGACAGUUCUGUUUUCUGAUGUAUAGAAGCUAAUAAGUACAAACAGUUGCUAAAGGACUGUAACUAGUCAAUUUGGGUAAGUAUUUUCCUUAAAAGACCUCAUACUGCUCUUCAACCUGCUGAAAUACAAAGUGCCAACUGGCAUAGCACUGUAACACUGUGUUGUUAAUAUGAGAUAUAUUAAGCCAAAAAGAAGAGGAAAAUAAAGCAAACAAUGCAAAUAUUCAUUUCAAAAUAAUGGGGGGGGAAAAAAAGGAAAUAUAAUCAUCAAAUUUGCAGAGCACUGGUAAGACACCAGAAAAAGUGGUAAUAAUGAAUCUAAAGCAACAAAGAAAUAGGAAGGAUUUCCUGCCUAGGUGUUUUUGAUAGCUUACUUGUAAUCUACUUGGGUAAACCUAUA